AGGAUAGCCAAUCUUAGCGGUUUGCCUGGGACUGAGUGGAUUCCUGAGGUACGGGACUUUCAGUGCUAAGAUUGGGAUGCUGUCUUACUCC
rnacentral:miRNA from 1 species